rnacentral:ncRNA from 2 species
AGAAUACAAUCUGGAGAGUGGUGACGGCCUGAUGGCUGUUGCCCACCGAAGGAGAAAGUGACGGCAUGGCAGCUUGUUAAGUUGUUUGCCUGAACCAAACUCUCAGGUUUCACGACAGAUGGGGUCAU